GAUGAACGCUAGCGGCAGGCUUAACACAUGCAAGUCGAGGGGCAGCAUAAUGGAUAGCAAUAUCUAUGGUGGCGACCGGCGCACGGGUGCGUAACGCGUAUGCAACCUACCUUUAACAGGGGGAUAACACUGAGAAAUUGGUACUAAUACCCCAUAAUAUCAUAGAAGGCAUCUUUUAUGGUUGAAAAUUCCGAUGGUUAGAGAUGGGCAUGCGUUGUAUUAGCUAGUUGGUGGGGUAACGGCUCACCAAGGCGACGAUACAUAGGGGGACUGAGAGGUUAACCCCCCACACUGGUACUGAGACACGGACCAGACUCCUACGGGAGGCAGCAGUGAGGAAUAUUGGUCAAGGGACGCAAGUCUGAACCAGCCAUGCCGCGUGCAGGAUGACGGCUCUAUGAGUUGUAAACUGCUUUUGUACGAGGGUAAACGCAGAUACGUGUAUCUGUCUGAAAGUAUCGUACGAAUAAGGAUCGGCUAACUCCGUG
rnacentral:rRNA from 1 species